UACGGAGGGGGCGAGCGUUAUUCGGAAUUAUUGGGCGUAAAGGGCGCGUAGGCGGCCCUGUAAGUCAAAGGUGAAAUCCCUCGGCUCAACUGAGGAACUGCCUUUGAAACUGCAGGGCUUGAGGCCGGGAGGGGGUAGCGGAAUUCCCAAUGUAGCGGUGAAAUGCGCAGAUAUCGGGAAGAACACCCGUGGCGAAGGCGGUUCUCUGGGACGGUACUGACGCUGAGACGCGAAAGCGUGGGGAGCGAACAGG
rnacentral:rRNA from 1 species